GUCGACGUACUUCAUAGGAUCAUUUCUAUAGUUUACGUCCCUCUUUGACUCUUCAAAAGAGCCAUUGAAUCCAACUUGGUUGAUGAGGUAGAUACCUUUGUACCCUAGAGUGAGAAAGUUUUAGCUUGUCUGUGAUCCUUAGCGGUCCGGUCAUCUACAAAUAUUUUGCCUUUCGUUUGUGUGUUGGAGCUUGCUUCUUCGUCAGAAAGGAGCGAUGAUCUUGACCCUUUCCCGUCUGCUUCUUCGGGAGUGACGGGUUUGGGUGGGUACAAAUGGCUGUCUGACAAGU
rfam:Babjeviella inositovora NRRL Y-12698 unplaced genomic scaffold BABINscaffold_12, whole genome shotgun sequence.